UACGAAGGGGGCUAGCGUUGUUCGGAAUUACUGGGCGUAAAGCGCGCGUAGGCGGCCACCGCAAGUCGACUGUGAAAUCUCCGGGCUUAACUCGGAACGGUCAACUGAUACUGCGCGGCUAGAGUGCAGAAGGGGCAACUGGAAUUCUCGGUGUAGCGGUGAAAUGCGUAGAUAUCGUGAGGAACACCAGAGGCGAAGGCGGCUACCUGGACAAUUGCUGACGCUCAGGCACGAAAGCGUGGGGAGCAAAAGGG
rnacentral:rRNA from 1 species